ACGCUCGACACCUAGAGGCAGCAGUGGGGAAUAUUGCACAAUGGAGGAAACUCUGAUGCAGCGACGCCGCGUGGAGGAAGAAGGUCUUCGGAUUGUAAACUCCUGUUGUUGAGGACGAUAAUGACGGUACUCAACAAGGAAGUGACGGCUAACUACGUGUCAGCAGCCGCGGUAAUCUGAGCGGGCUGGCAAGGC
rnacentral:rRNA from 1 species